GUCAAGUUCACACAUAUAAUAUAGUCACAGGGAAUGAAAAUCACUUCGCUGUAAGCAUCAAUUCAUUAUAAGCGUGUUUGCUAUAACCAUGUUUUAAUGUAUAUAUUAAUCUUUUAGCACUGUGAGAAUUACAGUCAAACUUCGUUAUCUCGAACUAGAUGGGACUGUUUACAAACUUCAAGAUAUAUGAUCCAUUUAUAUAUAACAAGAUUAAUAUAGUUUAUAAACAAUUUAUUGAAACAUUCCAUAUUUGACACUGGGGACUACUAACUGUUGACAGCUAAGAUUAAAAAAUGUAAGUAAAUGACAAAUACUGUCUGAAAGGAAAAAACACACCCUGUAAUCGGGUGACAUAACUUCAAACAAAAUACAUGGAUACUUAGAUGACAAAAUUAACCUUCUAAAGAGAGUUUAAAAUACAUACAAAUUAUCCCCUUAGAAAACAUGGGGGGAAUUGGUGAAAAUUCAAAAAUUUAAACAACAAGACAAUGUAUUUGAGAUAUUUGAGGGUAAAAUACUCUAAAAAUAAGCGGUUUGGACUUACAAAUCACUUUGACAUAUCCACUGUAUUCGAGAUAUCAGUAUAUAUAAAACUAUAACAACAGCGGUGUUCUAUUCAUAAAAUGAGUUUAAAAGGGCUUGAUGGUCAUGGCCAUUUGUAGACUGUAUUUAUCUCCUUUAGAUGAAUUUUGAAGAGCUCUGUAUAAAGAUGCUAAAAAAUAAUCAAAUUUUAAAUCUAAAAAAAAUGUAUUUCUUUUUUAGUAAUAAAUAGCUUAUGGCCAAACAUAAUUUAUUGAAAUUUUAAAGCAGAUCUGAUGGAUCAAUUGUUGACCAUCACGCCUCCUUAAGGUAUUCAAUGUAUAAUGAAGGGAUAUUGAACAAUUGUGAAUCCUUUUAAACUAGUUAAAUAUGUAUUGCUAGAUAACAAUAAAAGUGAAAUUAACCAAACUCACAAGACUGACAACAUGUAAAAAGCCGGUCAUUUUGAACCUUAAAAUGUUUUAUAGAGUUAUCUCCCCUUGACGAAAAAAAAAGAAAUUUUUAAUUUCUUCAAAAUAUCUGCAAUAAAUGACUCAUUUUAUUUCAAAUCUAAAUAAAGAGAAAGUUCAUGCAUGUAUUAACCAAGAGAGUUUUACAAAUUUAAGUUACUUUUUACAAUAUCUUAAUAAAACAUACAAUGCCCAUAGACUUCAAUGCAAAUUUUAACAUGUAAUUGAUUGGACUUAAAUCAAAAUUUUGAAAAUUCCUUUGAUGGGGUAUUUUUAUUAAAUAACACCUUCAAAAUGAUAUCAUGAUUAAUGAUAUCGGACCAUUCAUUUAUUAGGUACAAAAUGUGGUUGUUAUACAUUGAAUACCUUAAUACAUUGUUGAUCUCUCAGGUAUCAAUUGUUAUGCAAAUUUCUGAAUUGAUUCAGUUGAAGUAUUUCUAUUUGUUUGUGAAUCCAGCUAAAAUGAAUGUUUCUAAAAUUAUUAAUGAAGACCUUUUAAGACUGUUCCAUUUAUGUGAUAUUCUUAUGGCAUGUCUGAGAAUUAAAUUAAGAAGAUGUUUAUGAGCAUCUAGUUAUGAUUUCAGGUUUUUGUAUACAGGUGUUCUUAAAAUUGUUCAUGAAACAAUUGGGGAAAAGCUUGGUUAAACUUUACCUGUUCAAAAUGUAAGAGAAAUGUUUAUCUUUUUUAAUGUUAACAACAGAUUAUUUCAAAGUGCAAUAUCGUUGUACAUGUAUCUAUCAUCUGUUAACUUUCAUAAACCUAAGAGACAUUUUUUUUCUCUCUACCAGUGAGGUUGUAACGAAUGAGUGCUAGAAUUUUUCAUAUAAUUUAUUAAAGUCUACAGCAAUGUGCUAUUUAUAGAAUGUAGAUAUUUAUUUACAAUUGUUAAUUUAUACAAAGUUUAUGGUUGGGGUUUUUGUGUGAAUUUUUGUAUCAUUAAGAAAUCCAUAUAUUGGAUUGAUAUCUCCUUUGUGAUAGAAUCUUGGAUUUUUUUUUUUCCUUUUGUUGAAGUUAUAUAUCUCAGUCCCUUCGUUUUCUUUAUUUUGUUGAUUUAUAUUUCAAUUUAUUAGUGCUCUUAUUAUUUAUUUUUACUUCAAUUGAUAUAUACAAUAUACAAUGUUUUGUUGAUUUGUUUAAGAACCUGUAUUUUCUCUCUUUGGCAAUAUCAAACAAUGAAUAGCUAUGUUACAUGUAUUUACCAAUAAGUACAUGCAGGUUUAAAUGUCAGGUGUCAGAAUUUUUUUCUCUCAAUAUUUACAAAAAGUUGAUGUUCCUAUAAAAAACACAUAUGAAUAUAACUGUAGUAUCUAUAAAAUGAUAUUUUGUAACUUAUGGUACUUCUGUCUCAAAGAGGUGUGAACUAUUCUGAGAGCUAUAUUUGUUAAGACUUUCAAUAGAUGAGUGUAUAAUGUUUUUGAAUACUCUAAGAAAGAGUCAUCCCUGAAAGGGAGGCUUCUCUGUUCAGAUUGACCUGAAGAUUGAUGCAAACAGGAAUAAGAGAUGUGUCAAGAAUCAUAUGAUCCAAUACAUUCCAGUUGACUUUGUGCUUGGCUAUCAGCAUCAGAACUUUGAUAUAACAUGUACAUUCCAUUGGAUAAUCUUGUUAGCUAUGGUUUUAGUUUUCUUUAUUUUUUUCUUUCUUACUUUCCUCUGAAGCUAAAAAUCAUCCAAGAUUGUGUAACAUACUAAGUUCUUUAGGUAUGUAUUGUGUAUAACUUUGAGGACUUUUUUCAAAACAUUAAUUUUGUACUCAUAUAGUAAGAUAAUUUAGAGUUAUCUGAACUUUUUAUUUUGGUUAUGAUAAGUGUUUAUGUAAGUUUAGAUAAUAAUGCAAUGAUAGUGUAUAUAAAUAAUGCAGUGUUAUAUUCUCUAGUUAGCCAUAGCUGUAUGGUAGUAAACCAAAUGCAGUAAAACAAAGCUAUCCUUAAAAUGGAUAUAAAAGAUUCCCGCUUAAACAAUUUUCAUGAAGUAGGAAUACACGUAAUUCUAUAGGAAAGAGUGUCUGUAACAGGUAAAACUGACUGCCCUUGGUGCUUAUUGUGAGCCCUGUUUAUUGUGUGUAGUACAUGCUUUGUUCACACAGGGAGUCCAGUGGUACAUGUAGCCAUUGUCUGUUGUGUAGACUAGAACUGUAGUGCAUCAAUUUUCAGUGUUACCGUCACACAAUGCAAUAAACUCAUCAACAGGCCAUACUCUUCUUGUCUUAUUGAAGCAGAAGCAGUCCUAGCCAAAGUGCAUGCAGGAUCAAGUGACAGAGUUAUUGCUCUGAUUGCAUUGAUCAGUAGAACAUCAAUACUAUACUCUUCUUAUUGAAGCAGUAGCAGUCCCAGCUAAAGUGCAUCUAUGAUCAAGUGUCAGAGUUAUUGCUGUGACUGCAUUGAUCAAUAGCUGAUACAUUUACAUCAAUUAAGAUAGAAGUCAUCAAAGUUUUACAGUUACCGAUUUAUUUCUUAGAAGGGGGAAAAAACGAUAUAACCAAUGUUUGCAAAUGUUCCCUUAUGAACUGCUAAGAUUCAAAAUUCUCAAAUGACUGUUCAAAAAGGACACUGGAAAAUUGAUGAAAAUAAAAAAUACCGGUAGAUAAUAUAGAAAAUCUUGAACAGUUGCACUGUUUACAUGGCAUUAAAAUUUGAUUACAUUAAAGUCAUCUAGACAAACUUCUGGGCAUAGAAUGCGGAGAACUCUGUUUUGAGCUGUUGAUACAUCAGCCUGGGUAACUCAGUUUCAUUAAGCGCAUAUUAUGGUCUUUGAUACUCUACUUGACAUAUCUUUAUAUGUCGAGAGAUGGAAGGAACACUUCUGUUCAGUUCUCCUGUUCAGUAGAGAAGAUCCUGUAAACAAGGCAGAAAUUAAAAUGGAGCAACCAACAGAAUUAGAUACAGAAUGUUCAGAAAUAACGGAGGAAGAGAUCAGACAAUAUAUUAGAAAAUUAAAGAAAAACAAACCAACAGGAUCAGAUAACAUCAAGGUAGAAGUUAUAAAGAAAGUGAAGACAUAAGUGCUAAUCUUUUACACACUCUCUUUAACAAGAUUUGGGGAAAGAAAGUGUCUGAACAGCAGAAAAAUUCACCUUCUAAAUGAUCUUGAAUUUAUUUUCUCAAAAGAAAUCACAAAAUUGAUAUCAAAUCAAGGGAUAAUUUUUUUUUCCUCGAAAGAAAUCACAAAACUGAUAUCAAAUCAAGGGUUAAUGCUUAUUUUCAAUUAAUAAACAACAACAAAUUCUAUGCUUGUAACUGUGUCACAAUUUUUUAAUUGCAUAUAAAGAUGUACAGCAUUACAAAUACUACUGCAUUAUAUUAAUUAUGAAAUGACAUCUAGAGAUCUAAAGAAUUGAAAAAAUAAACACCCAUUUCCAUUCUUGUUUUGAA